UACGGGGGGAGCAAGCGUUGUUCGGAUUUACUGGGCGUAAAGGCUCGUAGGCGGCCAACUAAGUCGGAUGUGAAAUCCCCAGGCUUAACCUGGGAAUUGCAUCCGAUACUGGAUGGCUUGAAUCCGGGAGAGGGAUGCGGAAUUCCAGGUGUAGCGGUGAAAUGCGUAGAUAUCUGGAGGAACACCGGUGGCGAAGGCGGCAUCCUGGACCGGCAUUGACGCUGAGGAGCGAAAGCCAGGGGAGCAAACGGG
rnacentral:rRNA from 1 species